rnacentral:lncRNA from 1 species
AUUACAUCUGGGUAGGUCUCAGACAGUGUAAUCUGGUCACGCUACAUUACAUCUGGGUGGGUCUAAGACCUGGUAAUCUGGUCAUACUCCAUUACAUCUGGGUGGGUCUCACACACUGUAAUCUGGUCUCGCUCCAUUACAUCUGGGUAGGUCUCAGACAGUGUAAUCUGGUCACGCUCCAUUACAUCUGGGUGGGUCUAAGAACCUGGUAAUCUGGUCACACUCCAUUACAUCUGGGUGGGUCUCACACACUGUAAUCUGGUCUCGCUCCAUUACAUCUGGGUGGGUCUCAGACAGUGUAAUCUGGUCACGCUCCAUUACAUCUGGGUGGGUCUAAGACCUGGUAAUCUGGUCACACUCCAUUACAUCUGGGUGGGUCUCACACACUGUAAUCUGGUCUCGCUCCAUUACAUCUGGGUGGGUCUCAGACAGUGCAAUCUGGUCAUGCUCCGUUAGAUCUGGGUGGGUCUCACACACUGUAAUCUGGUCUUGCUCCAUUACAUCUGGG